CACAACCACAGUGCCCUGUUGGCCAGGCCUGGGCUGAACUGCCUUAUGAGGCCUCCCAAGACCUGCUGGGCCAGACUCAUGGCCCUCCAGGCGCAGUGUGUGGAAGUGGGAAGAAUUUCCAGGGGGAGGAAGCUCGGAGACCAGGCCAGCGCGCUCUAAGGCCAAAGAGCAAGCGAGUCAGGCUCCAGUUCCGGGUAGACGGCGUUGCAGAGCCAGGGGAAGCCGAGCCACCGGGCAUGGAGCACCAGGCUGCCUGCCCAGCAGCGCAGCCGAGCUGGCACGCACUCCUCAAACCUCACAGCCCGCCGCAGGGCAGCUGCCUGGGCCUCUUGUGGCGUCAGGGGCUCCCACAGUGCCGAACUUGGUGAAGAGGGGCAGACUAAGACCUGAGGCUGAGUCACGUCUGUAAACACCGAAGGGGCCAAGGUCCAUGGAAAAUGUUUGAUUAAAAAAAACUAUUAUGGAUUUUAAAACUUUUUUUGCACCAAAAUAAACUCAUACUUUGAUUCAA